GACGAACCGUGCGAACGUUGUUCGGAAUCACUGGGCUUAAAGGGCGCGUAGGCGGCUCGCGAGGUCGGGGGUGAAAUCCCACGGCUUAACCGUGGAAGUGCCUUCGAUACCGGCGGGCUCGAGGAAGGUAGGGGUGCGCGGAACUUCUGGCGGAGCGGUGAAAUGCGUUGAUAUCAGAAGGAACGCCGGCGGCGAAAGCGGCGCACUGGAUCUUUUCUGACGCUGAGGCGCGAAAGCCAGGGGAGCAAACGGG
rnacentral:rRNA from 1 species